GACGAACGCUGGCGGCGUGCUUAACACAUGCAAGUCGAACGGAAAGGCCCUGCUUUUGUGGGGUGCUCGAGUGGCGAACGGGUGAGUAACACGUGAGUAACCUGCCCUUGACUUUGGGAUAACUUCAGGAAACUGGGGCUAAUACCGGAUAGGAGCUCCUGCUGCAUGGUGGGGGUUGGAAAGUUUCGGCGGUUGGGGAUGGACUCGCGGCUUAUCAGCUUGUUGGUGGGGUAGUGGCUUACCAAGGCUUUGACGGGUAGCCGGCCUGAGAGGGUGACCGGCCCCAUUGGGACGGAGUGCGGGCCCAGCCUCCUCCGGGGGCCGCAAGGGGGGAAUUUUGCACAAGGGGCGGAAGCCUGAUGCAGCACCCCCGCGUGCGGGAUGACGGCCUUCGGUUUGUAAACCGCUUUCGCCUGUGACGAAGCGGGAGUGACGGUAAGGGGUAAAGAGGCCCCGGCUAACUACGUC
rnacentral:rRNA from 1 species